UACGAAGGGGGCUAGCGUUGCUCGGAAUCACUGGGCGUAAAGGGUGCGUAGGCGGGUUUUAAGUCAGGGUGAAAUCCUGGAGCUCAACUCCAGAACUGCCCUUUGAUACUGAAGAUCUUGAGUUCGGGAGAGGUGAGUGGAACUGCGAGUGUAGAGGUGAAAUUCGUAGAUAUUCGCAAGAACACCAGUGGCGAAGGCGGCUCACUGGCCCGAUACUGACGCUGAGGCACGAAAGCGUGGGGAGCAAACAGG
rnacentral:rRNA from 1 species